UACGUAGGCAGCGAGCGUUGUUCGGAAUUACUGGGCGUAAAGAGUGUGUAGGCGGUGCUCUAAGUUCGGUGUGAAAUCUCCCGGCUUAACUGGGAGGGUGCGCCGGAAACUGGAGUGCUCGAACGUGGGAGAGGAAAGCGGAAUUCCUGGUGUAGCGGUGAAAUGCGUAGAUAUCAGGAGGAACACCUGUGGUGUAGACGGCUUUCUGGACCGUAGCUGACGCUGAGACACGAAAGCGUGGGUAGCAAACAGG
rnacentral:rRNA from 1 species